GGUUAGUGGAGGCAGGUAGUCUAAUGGUUAGAGGAGGCAGGUAGUCUAAUGGUUAGAGGAGGCAGGUAGUCUAGUGGUUAGAGGAGGCAGGUAGUCUAGUGGUUAGAGGAGGCAGGUAGUCUAGUGGUUAGAGGAGGCAGGUAGUCUAGUGGUUAGAGGAGGUAGGUAGUCUAGUGGUUAGAGGAGGCAGGAAGUCUAUUGGUUAAAGGAGGCAGGUCGUCUAGUGGUUAGAGGAGGCAGGUAGUUUAGUGGUUAGAGGAGGCAGGUAGUCUAGUGGUUAGAGGAGGCAGGUAGCCUAGUGGUUAAAGGAGGCAGGUCGUCUAGUGGUUAGAGGAGGCAGGUAGUCUAGUGGUUAGAGGAGGCAGGUAGUCUAGUGGUUAGAGGAGGCAGGUAGCCUAGUGGUUAGAGGAGGCAGGUAGUCUAGUGGUU
ensembl:lncRNA